ACGCUCGACACCUACGGGAGGCNGCAGUGGGGAAUAUUGCACAAUGGGGGAAACCCUGAUGCAGCGACGCCGCGUGGAGGAAGAAGGUCUUCGGAUUGUAAACUCCUGUUGUUGGGGAAAAAGAGGAUGGUACCCAACAAGGAAGUGACGGCUAACUACGUGCCAGCAGCAGCGGUAAUCUGAGCGGGCUGGCAAGGC
rnacentral:rRNA from 1 species